rnacentral:lncRNA from 1 species
ACCUAACAGCUCAACAAGGUCAGUGUAAGGAAAGGACACAAAAGUGAUGUGUUUUAGGCAUGAUUUGCGACUAAAAGGACUAAAAAGCGUCGAGAACCGAGAAAACCGAAACU